rnacentral:rRNA from 1 species
GUCUUUUUAGUAUUUAAUAUAAAGUCUGGCCUGCCCACUGAAUAAUAUUUGAAGGGCCGCAGUAUUUUGACUGUGCAAAGGUAGCAUAAUCAUUAGUCUUUUAAUUGAAGGCUGGUAUGAAUGGUCGGAUGAGAUAUAAGCUGUGUCAAAAAAAUUAUUAUUUGAAUUUAACUUUUUAGUCAAAAGGCUAAAAUAAAUUUAAAAGACGAGAAGACCCUAUAGAGCUUUAUAUAAUAAAUAUUUAAGUUAUUAAGAUUUAUUAAAUUUAAUUUUUAUAUUGUAUUUUGUUGGGGUGACAAUAAAAUUUAUAAAACUUUUAUUUUUAUUUAACAUUAAUUUAUGAUUAUAUGAUCCAAUUUUAUUGAUUAUAAAUUUAAGUUACCUUAGGGAUAACAGCGUAAUUUUUUUUGAGAGUUCUUAUCGAUAAAAAAGAUUGCGACCUCGAUGUUGGAUUAAGAGUAAUUUUGGGUGUAGAAGCUCAAAAUUUAAGUCUGUUCGACUUUUAAAUUCUUACAU